AUUGAACGCUGGCGGCAGGCCUAACACAUGCAAGUCGAGCGGCAGCGGGGGAAAGCUUGCUUUCCCGCCGGCGAGCGGCGGACGGGUGAGUAAUGUCUGGGAAACUGCCUGAUGGAGGGGGAUAACUACUGGAAACGGUAGCUAAUACCGCAUAAUGUCUUCGGACCAAAGUGGGGGACCUUCGGGCCUCAUGCCAUCAGAUGUGCCCAGAUGGGAUUAGCUAGUAGGUGGGGUAACGGCUCACCUAGGCGACGAUCCCUAGCUGGUCUGAGAGGAUGACCAGCCACACUGGAACUGAGACACGGUCCAGACUCCUACGGGAGGCAGCAGUGGGGAAUAUUGCACAAUGGGCGCAAGCCUGAUGCAGCCAUGCCGCGUGUAUGAAGAAGGCCUUCGGGUUGUAAAGUACUUUCAGCGGGGAGGAAGGUGUUGAGGUUAAUAACCGCAGCAAUUGACGUUACCCGCAGAAGAAGCACCGGCUAACUCCGUGCCAGCCGCCGCUGUAACAC
rnacentral:rRNA from 1 species